rnacentral:rRNA from 1 species
GAUGAACGCUGACAGAAUGCUUAACACAUGCAAGUCCACUUGAAUUUGGGUUUUUUCACUUAGAUUUGGGUGGCGGACGGGUGAGUAACGCGUAAAGAACUUGCCUCACAGCUAGGGACAACAUUUGGAAACGAAUGCUAAUACCUGAUAUUAUGAUUAUAAGGCAUCUUAGAAUUAUGAAAGCUAUAUGCGCUGUGAGAGAGCUUUGCGUCCCAUUAGCUAGUUGGAGAGGUAACGGCUCACCAAGGCGAUGAUGGGUAGCCGGCCUGAGAGGGUGAACGGCCACAAGGGGAUGGAGACAAGGCCCUUACUCUUACGGGAGGCAGCAGUGGGGAAUAUUGGAAAAUGGACCAAGAGUCUGAUCCAGCAAUGCGGUGUGCACGAUGACGUUUUUCGGAAUGUAAAGUGCUUUCAGUUGAGAAGAAAAAAAUGACGGUACCAACAGAAGAAGUGACGGCUAAAUACGUG